rnacentral:misc_RNA from 1 species
UUUCCGUAGGUGAACCUGCGGAAGGAUCAUUGUCGAAGCCUGCCCAGCAGAACGACCCGCGAACUUGUAUAAACAACCGGGGGCAGGGGCGAUCUCGCCCCGUGCCCUCGAACGGCAGGGAGACACUCGUGCCUUCUUGUCGAACAACGGACCCCGGCGCGGUCUGCGCCAAGGAACUUCAAUUAAAGAGUGCCUCCGGUCGCCUCGGAAACGAUGCGCGUGUCGGAGGCGAAUCUUGUACAAAACCAUAACGACUCUCGGCAACGGAUAUCUCGGCUCUC